UACGGAGGGUGCAAGCGUUAUCCGGAUUCACUGGGUUUAAAGGGUGCGUAGGAGGGCAGGUAAGUCAGUGGUGAAAUCCCCGAGCUUAACUUGGGAACUGCCGUUGAUACUAUCUGUCUUGAAUAUCGUGGAGGUGAGCGGAAUAUGUCAUGUAGCGGUGAAAUGCUUAGAUAUGAACAUAGAACACCAAAUUGCGAAGGCAGCUCGCUACACGAAAUAUUGACUCUGAGGCACGAAAGCGUGGGGAUCAAACAGG
rnacentral:rRNA from 1 species